AGCCAGGCAUGGUGGCGCACGCCUGUAGUCCCAGCUACUUGGGAGGCUGAGACAAGAAAAUUUCUUGAACCACAAGGCGGAAGUUGCAGUGAGCCGAGAUCAUACCACUGCACUCAGCCUGGGCGACAGAGCAAGACUC